rnacentral:rRNA from 1 species
AUGCCAUUUCCAUCCAUUCCAUCUCUUCCUCAAGCUUGUUUGAAUGCUAUGAUACACAGUAUGGCCUCUUUGUUUCAGGUUGGACGAAAACGAAGAACAAGGUGGCCUCUUUGUUUCACUGAUAUAGUUGGUCUCUUUUGCAAAUGCAAGAAGAUGAAGCAAAUCUGUAGAUUAUUGCAACUAUCAGAAAUGGGCAAGCGCUUGCGGCAGGGCAAGGACACCUCCAGGACAUACUGA